AUUGAACGCUGGCGGCAGGCCUAACACAUGCAAGUCGAACGGUAACAGGAAACAGCUUGCUGUUUCGCUGACGAGUGGCGGACGGGUGAGUAAUGUCUGGGAAACUGCCUGAUGGAGGGGGAUAACUACUGGAAACGGUAGCUAAUACCGCAUAACGUCGCAAGACCAAAGAGGGGGACCUUCGGGCCUCUUGCCAUCGGAUGUGCCCAGAUGGGAUUAGCCAGUAGGUGGGGUAACGGCUCACCUAGGCGACGAUCCCUAGCUGGUCUGAGAGGAUGACCAGCCACACUGGAACUGAGACACGGUCCAGACUCCUACGGGAGGCAGCAGUGGGGAAUAUUGCACAAUGGGCGCAAGCCUGAUGCAGCCAUGCCGCGUGUAUGAAGAAGGCCUUCGGGUUGUAAAGUACUUUCAGCGGGGAGGAAGGGAGUAAAGUUAAUACCUUUGCUCAUUGACGUUACCCGCAGAAGAAGCACCGGCUAACUCCGUG
rnacentral:rRNA from 1 species